rnacentral:rRNA from 1 species
UAACCUGCCCAAGAGAUCGGGAUAACACCUGGGAACAGAUGCUAAUACCGGAUAACAACAGAUGAUGCCUAUCAACUGUUUAAAAGAUGGUUCUGCUAUCACUCUUGGAUGGACCUGCGGUGCAUUAGCUAGUUGGUAGGGUAACGGCCUACCAAGGCGAUGAUGCAUAGCCGAGUUGAGAGACUGAUCGGCCACAUUGGGACUGAGACACGGCCCAAACUCCUACGGGAGGCAGCAGCC